rnacentral:rRNA from 1 species
UACGUAGGGGGCAAGCGUUGUCCGGAAUUACUGGGCGUAAAGCGUGCGCAGGCGGUUUUGUAAGACUGUCGUGAAAUCCCCGGGCUCAACCUGGGAAUGGCGAUGGUGACUGCAAGGCUAGAGUUUGGCAGAGGGGGGUAGAAUUCCACGUGUAGCAGUGAAAUGCGUAGAUAUGUGGAGGAACACCGAUGGCGAAGGCAGCCCCCUGGGUCAAAACUGACGCUCAUGCACGAAAGCGUGGGGAGCAAACAGG